GCUGGGUGUGGUGACCUGUGCCUGUAGUCUUAGUUACUCAGGAGGCUGAGGUGGGAAGAUCACUUGAGCCCAGGAGUUCAAGGUUGCAGUGAGUUAUGAUCAUGUCACUGUACUCUAGCCUGGGCAACAGAGUGAGACCCCAUUUCUA
ensembl:misc_RNA Metazoa_SRP Metazoan signal recognition particle RNA